AUAACUGGCUUGUGGUGGACACGUAUUCAUAGCGAAGUCACUUUUUGAUGUCUGCUGCUCCUCUUGCUGUGCAGCAGAACCCACCAAACCUUGGAUUGGUCACCCACCAAGAAGAAGGUGGGGCUAUGCCAUCGUGAGACAGGUU
rnacentral:ncRNA from 1 species